CUUUUUUCCUUUCUUUCUUCUUAGCGUCGUGCCUUGCAAAACCCUGACAAAGACACUUGUAUUCCCAAGGCAGCCUUGAAGGAGCAGUUGAGAGGCAUUAACCUCUUUCUGUCCCUAAUAAUGACAGCAGUGCAUGGAUGUUCAGGUCUGGGACCCAGAGCAGAGCCCAAGGCCUGCUGCCUCUUCUGAACUUGGAGGUGGUGUAGGUAGAGCAGAACAUCUGGCCUCACUCAUCCUUCCCGCCAAGGCGUCCUUGCCUGUAUUUAUAUACACUAAAGCCUCUGCCCGAAUAAAACAUCCAUGUAAAAUCCAAUUUCCUCAGAAUCUCUUUUGGAGCAUGGGCCUGAGAGAUGGAGUAGGUAACCCCGGCGGUUACCGCCUGAACCACUCCUGCUGGCUGCAAAGCUUGGAACCUGUCUCUUCCGGAAUGAAGAGAACACACAGUCCAACAUCCCUGCCAACAUGCUGUACCAUCCGGAAAAGGAGAGUCCAAUGGUAUAGCACAUCAGUGAUUCCCAGCCUCGGUUUCUAUCAGAACUGCUUGAUGAGGCUCCUUUAACACAAAUAGAUUUACUCAUAUACCUUAACCGUACGAGCAAAAGCAGGACCUGUACUCGCUCCCACUGGAGGACACGCAAGGCCCUAGCUAAGCCCUACGCGUUCCCUGGUUCCUUCUACAGAGCAGGAGAGUAAGGGAGAGCGAGCAAGCGCUGUCUCUCACAGCCUUGGGGAGAGAGCCGCUCAGGACCUGGGCAGGAGGGAACCAGCUGGUGACUUCUGACCUGCUCCAAACAACUUCUGCUUCUCAGACGUUGAGGGUUCUGGGAUUCAUACAGAAGAGGAAGCAGAAAGAGCUGGAGGUGAUGGGGGAUCGCAAAGAAACAAUGUCUUCCACACACAACAGGACGGAUGCACUCGCAUAGACUGUGAUCACAGGCACAAGACUUAAACAAGUUCAAGCCAGACAGAGUCCCAGCACUGAAAGGAGGAAGUGGACUCGGGCUCCUACUCCUAAAUGAGAAGCUAUCUGCAGCUGAUAUCCCUGUUCUGAUCUCAGGCUUCUGUUGACGGUGGGAACCCCUCUGUGGAUCUGGGCUGAUGUAAGAGCUCCCUCCUUUGUGCUGUCUGCCCCAAGUACAACCUCUUCAUGGGUAGCCUCUCAUCGGACUCUGCUCUCCUUUAGUAAGCUCUUCCUCUGGCUCCACAGAGCAACUUGGGAGGAAUAAGUGAAAGACCCCAGCUUAGCAGCAGUAACGCCAUUUUGCAAGGCUGUACUUAAGAUGACUGGUUCAGGGAA
rnacentral:sRNA from 1 species